GUCAAAAACUGUUACAAAAACCACAUAAAAAUACAUAACUCUUAUAAUACAAUGUUUAACCUAUAUGUCCAACAUAUCCCCAGAUAGCUUGGAUCUGAGCGCUCAAUAUGUCCAAUGUUAAAAGUGCCCUAUAGUACAAGGAAGGGUGGGGUCAGACAAUAGCAAGGGCUGAUGAGAGAUUGAGGAGGGACAAAGCAGCCAGUUUCAACUGGUCUGGUAGUGUCCCUAGGAUAACACCCUGC